UAAAAAUAUGUACUUAUCUUAACCGUAUCAAUGUUUAUCACAUUGAUAUGGUAUUUGAAAAGGACCCAGCGAGGGAAAACAAAAACUAAAA